GGAGAUUUAGCUCAGUGGUAGAGCGCUUGCCUAGCAAGUGGAAGGCCCUGGGUUCGGUCCCCAGCUCCG
rnacentral:tRNA from 1 species